UAAUACGUAGGGUGCAAGCGUUAAUCGGAAUUACUGGGCGUAAAGCGUGCGCAGGCGGUUUCGUAAGUCUGUCGUGAAAUCCCCGGGCUUAACCUGGGAAUGGCGAUGGAGACUGCGAGGCUAGAGUUUGGCAGAGGGGGGUAGAAUUCCACGUGUAGCAGUGAAAUGCGUAGAGAUGUGGAGGAACACCGAUGGCGAAGGCAGCCCCCUGGGUCAAAACUGACGCUCAUGCACGAAAGCGUGGGGAGCAAACAGGAUUAGAUACCCUGGUAGUCCACGCCCUAAACAAUGUCUACUAGUUGUUGGGUCUUAAUUGACUUAGUAACGCAGCUAACGCGUGAAGUAGACCGCCUGGGGAGUACGGUCGCAAGAUU
rnacentral:rRNA from 1 species